rnacentral:tRNA from 2 species
CAGAAUAUAGUUUAAUUAAUAAUAUUAAUUUUGGAGAUUAGAGAUAUAAAUUUUAUUUAUUAUUCUGA